rnacentral:rRNA from 1 species
CCGAAAAUGUACCGGGGCUAAACGUAUCACCGAAGCUGCGGACUGUUCUUGCGAACAGUGGUAGGAGAGCGUUCUAAGGGCUGUGAAGCGAGACCGGAAGGACUCGUGGAGCGCUUAGAAGUGAGAAUGCCGGUAUGAGUAGCGAAAGAGGGGUGAGAAUCCCCUCCACCGAAUGCCUAAGGUUUCCUGAGGAAGGCUCGUCCGCUCAGGGUUAGUCGGGACCUAAGCCGAGGCCGAAAGGCGUAGGCGAUG